AGAUUGUUAUGAUGAUAUUUACAUGCACCACGCUUAAUAGCUUUUCAAGCAGUGUGUCGAUUAUGUAUUUCUGAACAUUU
rnacentral:snoRNA from 1 species